UAGGGAAUCUUCCGCAAUGGACGCAAGUCUGACGGAGCAACGCCGCGUGAGUGAAGAAGGAUUUCGGUUCGUAAAACUCUGUUGUUAGAGAAGAACAGCGCAUAGAGUAACUGUUAUGCGUGUGACGGUACCUAAUCAGAAAGCCACGGCUAACUACGUGCCAGCAGCCGCGGUAAUACGUAGGUGGCAAGCGUUAUCCGGAAUUAUUGGGCGUAAAGCGCGCGUAGGCGGUUUUUUAAGUCUGAUGUGAAAGCCCACGGCUCAACCGUGGAGGGUCAUUGGAAACUGGAAAACUUGAGUGCAGAAGAGGAAAGUGGAAUCCCAUGUGUAGCGGUGAAAUGCGCAGAGAUAUGGAGGAACACCAGUGGCGAAGGCGACUUUCUGGUCUGUAACUGACGCUGAUGUGCGAAAGCGUGGGGAUCAAACAGG
rnacentral:rRNA from 1 species